rnacentral:sRNA from 1 species
GGGAGGGGGUGACUAGUGACAGAGUGAGGGAGGAAAGGGGUGAGGGAGGUGGUGAUUAGUGACAGAGGGAGGGAUGGGGUGACUAGUGACAGUCACCACCUCCUUCACUCUGUCACUGUGUCACCCCCUCCCUCACUCUGUCACUGUGUGACCCCCUUCCUCACUCUGUCACUGUGUGACCCCCUUCCUCACUCUGUCACUAGUCACCCCUUCCUUCUCUCACUCUGCCACUAGUCACCCCUUGCCUCACUCUGCCACUAGUCACCCCUUGCCUCACUCUGUCACCUGUCACCCCCUCACUCUGUCACUAGUCACCCCCUCACUC